GUGACCUGCGGAGGGAUCAUUACAAGAACGCCCGGGCUUCGGCCUGGUUAUUCAUAACCCUUUGUUGUCCGACUCUGUUGCCUCCGGGGCGACCCUGCCUUCGGGCGGGGGCUCCGGGUGGACACUUCAAACUCUUGCGUAACUUUGCAGUCUGAGUAAACUUAAUUAAUAAAUUAAAACUUUUAACAACGGAUCUCUUGGUUCUGGCAUCGAUGAAGAACGCAGCGAAAUGCGAUAAGUAAUGUGAAUUGCAGAAUUCAGUGAAUCAUCGAAUCUUUGAACGCACAUUGCGCCCCCUGGUAUUCCGGGGGGCAUGCCUGUUCGAGCGUCAUUUCACCACUCAAGCCUCGCUUGGUAUUGGGCAACGCGGUCCGCCGCGUGCCUCAAAUCGUCCGGCUGGGUCUUCUGUCCCCUAAGCGUUGUGGAAACUAUUCGCUAAAGGGUGUUCGGGAGGCUACGCCGUAAAACAACCCCAUUUCUAAGGUUGACCUCGGAUCAGGUAGGGAUACCCGCUGAACUUAAGCAUAUCAAUAAGCGGAGGAAAAGAAACCAACAGGGAUUGCUCUAGUAACGGCGAGUGAAGCAGCAAUAGCUCAAAUUUGAAAUCUGGCGUCUUCGACGUCCGAGUUGUAAUUUGUAGAGGAUGCUUCUGAGUGGCCACCGACCUAAGUUCCUUGGAACAGGACGUCAUAGAGGGUGAGAAUCCCGUAUGCGGUCGGAAAGGCGCUCUAUACGUAGCUCCUUCGACGA
rnacentral:rRNA from 1 species